rnacentral:lncRNA from 1 species
UGAUGGGGGCCGUAUGAUGAAACUCCUUUGACAUCACCCAUUUGGGUACACAACUGACACGACUUUGGAGAUGAAUGUGGUGAAGUCAAAGAUGGAGAGAGGUCAGGACCUGGGAAAGGUCAGUGGCUUCGAAGGUGGCUAUGAGCCCUUUGUCCCCUAUAGCACCAGACAGAAUCAGGGCUGGAAUGUGACAAGCUGUUUUCCCAGUCUCAGGCCAUUGGAGAGGGUUGGGGAGAGGUGAAGCAACAGAGCCGAAGGUCUAACUUACAAGUGACCCUUGAUUGGAGACUUAAUUGAUUCCAGGAGCGCCGUGAAAAAUUGAACCAUUGUAAGUCGAGCUCUCAUUUUCUGUAAGCACCAUCCUACACAUUCUACUCCCUACCUUGGAAUCUAAUCUCAUACCAUAAAAAUAUCCAGAGUAAUUCCAACAAAAUGAAACUGAGAUAAAACACAGAUAUACGCUUUUCAAACAUUUACAGACUACAUAAAAAGAAAUUCAAUAGGAAAAUCUGUAGCAGGGCCCUAAUUGGGGAGCUCUCUUGUCUUUGGGACCAAAAUGGGCUGGAUGAAGUUUCUUAAAAUGUUACUUCGAUGAAGUCUUGAUUGAAGUCAUCUUCUUUUUGUGAUAAAUGUCCCUGUCACAGUGGCUUUCAACUGAGGGUGACUUUGUCCCCAAGGGUAAAAUUGCAUUUGGCAAUGUCUGGAGAUAGUUUUGGUUGUUACCACUUGGAGGGGGCGGUGGUCCUAUUGGAAUUCAAAGGGUAGAAGCCAGGGGUGCUGCUAAGUAUUCUAGAAUGCACAGGACAGUUUCCCUCAACAGAGAAUUCUCUCACCAAAAUGUCAAUAGUACUGCCAUAUUAAAACCCUGCCCCACAGUAAGCAUGGGCAUUUCAAUCUGAAUUAAAAUUCAGGUCAUUUCUCUGGAAAAGGAAAAUUGAAAUCUAGAUUUACACGAACGCCUCUCCAAGUCUUUAAAUGGUACAUGAUAGGGAGGCGAGUAGGGUAGGAGGUCAGGUGGUUCCAUCUUGACUUCUCCAGCGAUCCUGUGCUCUUCUGUGUCAGUAAGUCAGCUGAGCUGCCUUUCAUAGCAAGCCAGGUUGUCAUUGUUGCCAAUUGUUUCAAUUGUGUGUAGCUUUGGUUGUAAAUAUAAGUUUUGGUCAUUACUCUGUGGGUUUUACUUAUAGAAAAAAAGUCAUAAAAAGUGAGUAUGGGUCACAAAUCAUUCCAGGUAUUGCCUGUAC